rnacentral:rRNA from 1 species
UACGUAGGUGGCAAGCGUUGUCCGGAUUUACUGGGCGUAAAGAGCGCGCAGGCGGCCAAGUCAGUCGAAUGUGAAAGCCCCCGGCUUAACUGGGGAGGGUCAUUCGAUACUGCUCGGCUCGAAGACAGGAGAGGGAAGUGGAAUUCCCGGUGUAGUGGUGAAAUGCGUAGAUAUCGGGAGGAACCCCAGAGGCGAAGGCGGCCCCCUGGCUCGUACCUGACGCUCAGCCACGAAAGCAUGGGGAGCGAACGGG